rnacentral:rRNA from 1 species
GACGAACCGUGCGAACGUUAUUCGGAAUCACUGGGCUUAAAGCGCGUGUAGGCGGACGGGGACGUCGGUCGCUGAAAUCCCCCGGCUCAACCGGGGAACGGGCGCCGAAACGCCCCGUCUCGAGGGACGUAGGGGGACCUGGAACUUCCGGUGGAGCGGUGAAAUGCGUUGAGAUCGGAAGGAACGCCCGUGGCGAAAGCGAGGUCCUGGACGUCUUCUGACGCUGAGACGCGAAAGCUAGGGGAGCGAACGGG